CGCACAUUGCGCCCAUUAGUAUUCUAGUGGGCAUGCCUGUUCGAGCGUCAUUUCAACCCUUAAGCCUAGCUUAGUGUUGGGAAUCUACUAUCCGGGCGGCCCUACCCUGUAGCGGUUUGCCCUGUAGUUCCUCAAAAUGAACGGCGGAACAGUGGUAUCCUCUGAGCGUAGUAAAUCUUUAUCUCGCUUCUGUUAGGUGCCGCUGCUCCUGCCGCUAAACCCCCAAAUUUUAAUGGUUGACCUCGGAUCAGGUAGGAAUACCCGCUGAACUUAA
rnacentral:misc_RNA from 1 species